GACGAACCGUGCGAACGUUGUUCGGAAUCACUGGGCUUAAAGGGCGCGUAGGCGGCUCGCGAGGUCGGGGGUGAAAUCCCGCGGCUCAACCGCGGAAGGCCUCCGAUACCGGCGGGCUGGAGGGGGUAGGGUGCGCGGAACUUCUGGUGGAGCGGUGAAAUGCGUUGAUAUCAGAAGGAACGCCGGCGGCGAAAGCGGCGCACUGGACCCUUACUGACGCUGAGGCGACGGAAAGCCCAAGGGAGGCAAAACGGGG
rnacentral:rRNA from 1 species